UUACCAGUGGUUGCCUCAUCAUGUCCUUCCAAAUAAAAAUACAAAUUGGGAAAAAAAAAUAAUUCAUAAGGAUGCCUGAUCCUUCCUUAUAAAUAAAACCUUUGAGUUCAAACCUUCUAGCUCAAGUUUUUUAGUCAUGAGAAUUCAUAAACUCUCUCCUAUCAUUUUGUUCCUUGUUGUAAUUAUAGCACUGGUUCAUGUUUCGAGUUGCCGUCGCAUCACUUGGUCCUGGCAUGGCAGCGAAGAUCCGGAACCAAGACUAAGAGCCAAGUUUUCGUCUCUCUUUGCGCGGCGCCUUGGUGCCGGUUCUCAUUCUUCUGCAGGAUUUGGAUACAAGAAGAUGAACGGAAUAAACGUUGUUGCGCACAAAGCUGUCCCUGGUGGGCCAAAUCCACUUCACAACUGAGCCAAUUUUAUCUCACACAUCAUACACUCGGUUCUUGGAAAGAACAAGAAGGAAAAGGUCGAAAAUCUGCUUCCCUGCUCAAGAUUUUGAAGAAAUUUUCUUUCUCUUCUGUUCUUUCAUUGAACCGAGCGAUUAGCAGUUGAAUUUGUUGCGUAAUCGUGUCAUAAUUUUGUAAAUCGAAGAUGUAAAGUAGUUGAUACCUUUUUCGAAUAUCCAGUGAUUUUGUUUGCAUCAUACUCAAUGCAUAUAUAGAUCAGAAAUCAAGCUUGAGUACAUCCAGUGUUUAGCUUGCACAACAUGAUGAUCUUCGGAACUAAUCAACGCAGAACCACUCUGGUAAAUCAAAGUUGAAAGUCACCUGAUUGCCGAUGCUCUUAGUCCUUAUGUCGUCCACAUGUUAAACUUGAAAAAUUCACCACACAUGAAGGGGCGUGCUGAGGAUGAAUCCCACAUUAAUAAGAAGAGGGACCUUGCAUGAACUUAUAAGAGGUUGUGUUACUUCCCAUAUUGCCAAUUCGUUUUACAGUUAAUUAGAAUUAGAUGUCUCAUUUUAGAUUUUUCUAAAUUAAACAUCUGUUACCUUUCAACUUUUGAUUAAAGUACUUUUACUUUUAAUUAAACUUUAUAUUCCAUGUAUAUUCUUAAUUUAAGUACUUUAUAAAUUCUUUUAAAUCCAUUUCUAUGUAAAAAAAUGCACUCAAUAAUAUUCAUUAAUUUAUUGCUAUUUUUAUGGAA